UACGGAGGGUGCGAGCGUUAAUCGGAAUAACUGGGCGUAAAGGGCACGUAGGUGGGCUUUUAAGUGAGGUGUGAAAUCCCCGGGCUUAACCUGGGAAUAGCAUUUCAGACUGGGGGUCUAGAGUACUUUAGGGGGGGGUGGAAUUCCACGUGUAGCGGUGAAAUGCGUAGAGAUGUGGAGGAAUACCGAAGGCGAAGGCAGCACCUUGGGAAUGUACUGACGCUGAUGAGCGAAAGCGUGGGGAGCAAACAGG
rnacentral:rRNA from 1 species